AAUAAUGAAUAUCCUUCCUCAAAAAAGUUGGCAUGUGCGAAGAAAAGAAAAUGUAGAAAAAGUUCGUCGCGAUGAGGAGGAAGCUGAAAAUAAGCGGCUUGAACAGGAACGCAGGCAUUCACAAGCGGAGAUAGAGGCACUUAGAUCAAGGCUAGGAGGAAGCAAACAGUCAACUGAAUCAAUUCAAGAAAAGCAUAUUAAUCUGUUCGUUGAUCGGGAUUUCGACUACAGUGAGAAGAACAAAGACACACAUCGUGAAACUGAGCUGAAAAAAGAAACAGAGCAAUGGGCGAGGAAAGUGGGCAUCUCAGUCGGGCUAAACGACAAGUCAGAAGAAGCACAAAGUCAUUGGGUGUUUGGGAAGAGUGCAGGAAAAGACUCGAAGACGACCCUAGUCGAAGAUCUGGAGUUG